AGGCAGGGCUGGAGGAGGCUGGCCGUGAGGGCCGGCGGGAGCAGGAGCAGGAGUGGGGAGACCCUGGAGGCCACGAGCGCUGAGGGAUUAAACACAGGCGGUUAAGGCCUCCGAGUGCCGAGAGCCCUGUUUGUGGCCCGCUGGCACUCAUGUGCAGGACUAGAUGCAGAAUACUUUUCAGCACUAAACUCACCUCGGGCUCCCUCUGGCUACCCUAUUACAAUUUUUCUUUCCCCUGGUUUCUUUACAUAUUCAUCUCUUUCACAAUUAUACUACAUGUAAAUUUAUGCAGUUGCCUGAAUCCUGUCUGGGUGACUAUUUUUAGCAUUUAUAAUCAUUAUCCAGGUCUGUCUGGGUUCCACAGCCAGUGUUUCCGACCCUCCCAGGACACUUCACCUUGAUCGUCUGCAAAGACCCAGAGGGCCCUUCAGUUCACUCAAGGUUUUGGGUGAAAGGCUUAGAAAGCUGCCCGGGGAGUAUGCCCACUCUUCCUCUGUGGGGUGCGAACCUGCCUGUCCCGCCCUACCUGUGUCUGAGCACUGCUGAGACAGCAUCCCUUCCAGAGCUGCCACGUAGUCGGGGCCUAGCCAGUCAUGGUCUCAGGGCGGGAUGGGCUCCUCCCCUAAGAGCUGAAGUUCUCAAGCCAGAAGAGGUAUAACAUCAAGUAUGGAUCUGUAAGAUGCAGUUUCAAAGGCCCCUCCUUGCAAAGAAUCUCAUCAGGAGGAACUCCAGGUGGGCUCACGAGCAGAGAUAAAAGAAUUUGAGUGGCCCUGGGAGGCAGGUGAACCUCGCAAGGGCCCCGCCUCCUCCCCAGCCCUCAGCCCAGGACCACAGAGGGCACAGGCUGGGACCAGGCAGCGCUCACAGCUCCUGCAGGAGCACGCAGUUCCCUCCUUCUCGGGGAUGAUCCCCAGUGUUCUUGGUGGGAGGUUGGCAGGGGAGGGAGGGUAUGGCAACAGGGCCUGGAACGCUUCCAGCUCUGUUGGGGCAACUGGUCUCCAGCUUAGUGACUUUCGUAGGCAGGGUGGGAUCUGAGUUUUGAAAUACUGACUGAUGUUUUUUCCCUGCGUGUCUUGCUUUCCCUUCGCCAAUGUCCUCCUCCCCUUCGGGCCUUCUGCCUUUCUGCCCUGAGUUCCUGGGAAGAGAUGUGUUAGGACAGAGUGGAGAAGACUUAACCUCCAGUGUUUGAGGUUUCAAAGCCUGGGGUGUAGGCAGAGUAUAUAGAAAAUGCAAACAAUAGAGUGUUGAAGGGAAACAGCUUUCAGUCUUCAAAAUGGAUAGAUUCCCUGAGGAGGGAGAAGAGGAUGGGGCAGGGGGGUGAUGCACGGUCAAGGGCCUGCACCCCGAUAGGACCUCAGGUGGGGGCUUAGGGGUCCUGGAGGAGUUCCUGAGCUCUUCUUCCCGGGUGGAGCCCAGGAAGGUGACUCCAGAGAAAAAAACCACCUGUAUGAUGUGAAUGGGGGUGUGCCCUGCCUCACAUGGCUUGGGGGCUGCAGAGUGAUUUCCCUGCGCGUGGCAUUGACCUGCUCAGGACCAAACACCAGAUGCUGAUGUGAACUGAUAACCCUGGGGAGAGAGGCCCCUGCCACCUCUACCCACACACCUGGGUGCCACAUAGACACCCAAGAAUGGGUUCUCUCCAAAUUGAUUGGGUUUCUACCAUUU